rfam:Treponema sp. JC4 contig00142, whole genome shotgun sequence.
GGGACAGUAGCUCAGUUGGUUAGAGCACCGCUCUGAUAAGGCGGGGGUCAUAAGUUCAACUCUUAUCUGUCCCA